rnacentral:rRNA from 1 species
AAUAGCCUAACGGCUGAACCAGCAAUUUGGGGGAAUGUAUAUCGACUACGUCGAAUAAAGUUCUAGGUAAAAUAAUGAUGAUGACAAUUUUUUACCUAUAUGUCUUGACCAAAUCUCGUGCCAGCAGUCGCGGUAAUACGUGGAAGACUAGUGUUAUUCAUCUUUAAUAGGUUUAAAGGGUACCUAGACGGUAAAUCUAGCCCAAAAAGGGUACGGAUUUACUAGAGUUUUAUAUGAGAAGGGGAGUACUUAUAGAGUAGAGAUGAAAUUUUUUGAUACUAUAAGGAAACUGGUAUCGGCGAAAGCAACCUUCUAUGUAUAAACUGACGUUGAGGGACGAAGGCUUGGGUAGCAAACAGGAUUAGAUACCCUAGUAGUCCAAGCAGACAAUUCUGAAUGCCAUAGAUUAGAUUUUUUUGUCUAUAAAUGAAAGUGUAAGCAUUCCACCUUAAGAGUAAUGUGGCAACACAGGAAUUGAAAUCAUUAGACCGUUUCUGAAACCAGUAGUGAAGUAUGUUAUUUAAUUCGAUGGUCCACGAAAAACCUUACCACAACUUGAAUUUCUCUUCAAACAAGCGUUGCACGGCUGUCUUCAGUUAAUGUCGUGAGAUUUUGGUUAACUCCAUUAAAUUAACGUAAACCCUUACUUUAUUUUUUAUAUAAAGUAGUUUUCCACGAUAUAGGAUAUUAUAAAAGGGACUAAGACAAGUCAUCAUGGCCUGAAUAUUG